rnacentral:lncRNA from 1 species
GUUACAUAGUUGCCCAGUUACCCCAGCUUCUGAGAUGAAGAAUAUUAUUGAAGUCAAAUCUGGUGGCUAUCACACUCCAUGGAACUCGGGGCAACAUUUAGGUACCUCUACCCAGGAAAGAAUCUCUGAGAAAUAGGUGGCAGGUUCUCUAGCAGCAUAAGAAGAACCUUGAUAAGCAUCAUCCUUAAGUCCUGACAGCAGUGGAUGACUAGUCAGGAACCUGUCCAGGAAUAUUCAGCACAAUAAGCAUUGAAGAAACAAACGGCAAUGCGAGCUCAAAGGAUUCCAAGCCAUUAUGAACUGACUCUUCAAAUAAGUGCUUAUUUUCACAUAACCAGGGAGCUUCUGGAUUAACUUCCAUAUAAGACAUAUUUAUUAAAAGAUUUGCACCCCUAUUGCUGGCACUGGGUGGAGCUCCCCAAGCCAGGCCCUGCCCUUGGCACUCUUCUGCCGGUUAUUCUAGCCCAUGACCCCAGAGCCAGGGAGAAUCUCACCAGUACAGCCCAGGGCACCUCCAAUAACAUCUGAGCAGAGUGAGGGAGAAGAAACACACG